rnacentral:ncRNA from 1 species
UUACAUUUCUAAGUUUGCGUUAAUAUUUUGUGUAUUUUUACUGUGACAAGGUCUUAAAUCUCUAGAUUUUAUCCAUCUAUAAUAGUAUUUGUUACCUGUGCAUAACUUUGUGAUUUUAUUACACCGUAGUUUUUACUAACCUGAUAACUAGUUUCGCAUAAUGUAUAUUAUGUUAAAUGUAAUAAAUAAAUUGUCACAAAAGUAAAAUAACAAAUAGCCAAUAUUGCUCUCUC